CACGUAGGCACCAAGCGUUGUCCGGAUUUAUUGGGCGUAAAGAGCUCGUAGGCGGUUCAGUAAGUCGGGUGUGAAAACUCUGGGCUCAACCCGGAGACGCCACCCGAUACUGCUGUGACUUGAGUUCGGUAGGGGAGUGGGGAAUUUCUAGUGUAGCGGUGAAAUGCGUAGAUAUCUGGAGGAACACCGGUGGCGAAGGCGGCAUCCUGGACCAACACUGACACUGAGGAGCGAAAGCCAGGGGAGCAAACGGG
rnacentral:rRNA from 1 species